rnacentral:ncRNA from 1 species
UAUAAAGCUAUGAUUGAGAAUAGUAAGUGUACUAUCUCUCUAAAGCGAGUCGGGGAUGGUGUGAGCCCGGUGUGUAGAGGUAUACUGAAUGGACUCAUGAGCGUAAGUCUGAAACUUUAGUAGGGCUUAUCGGUUAUCCACCGUUAUUGGAUUAGAGUGGGUCAUUUGACCAAGUAGAGUGGUACCACGGAAGAAUAACCUUUCGUCUCUAAU